UCAACCUGCCUUCAACAGGGGGAUAAUCCGAAGAAAUUUGGUCUAAUACCCCAUAAUAUUCCGACAGGCAUCUGUCGGAGUUGAAAGCUUCGGUGGUUGGAGAUGGGCAUGCGUUGUAUUAGCUGGAUGGUGAGGUAACGGCUCACCAUGGCGAUGAUACAUAGGGGGACUGAGAGGUUUUCCC
rnacentral:rRNA from 1 species